GAUUCUUAUUGUUUUAGUGAAAAAUUAGGGCCCAUAAAAGUAAUAACUAUGUCAGACGAAUCUGGUUGCGUUAUGGUAUCUGCACAUUGUUUUUUAGAUGUUGAAAAUUAUUUUGAAGAACCUUUAGAAUCGUCACCGGGUUUAGGUAUUUUAGUAGCGAAGAAAUUAGAUAAAAAGGUAUUUAAAAUCAAAAAAGACGACAUAGUUUACAAAUAUUUCUCUAUUCCACAUGAGGGAAAGUUUCUCCUUAUACCCAUUCUACAUCAUUUAUUUCAUAAAUUUUCAAAUUAGGAUUUUUAAGUAUUUAUGUACAUAUAUUUUUCUCAGCUCAUUUUAUUACAUUUUCUUAAAUUUUUGGAAAAGAACUUUGAUACUGCCAAUUUUUAUUUCUCAAUUAGAUGGAAAAUAUAUUUGACGAAAUUGACUUGGAGGAUUGUCCAACAACGUCUUCAACUCCCGCAAAAGACCAAUUACAUUUAAAGCGUAAAAAGUUUAACACGUCUGGUUGCUACAAUACAGAGGUCAGCAUUUCAAAACGACCUGUGGAAGGAAACGAGGUUAUUGACAUUUUAACCACUAUUUCCAAACAGCUUGACGAUUUGACGACGAGGGUAUGCGAUUUGGAAACUAAAAUCGAUAAGCAUUUAAAAGAAAAUAUUAUUCAUAAAAGUGAAGAAAUGGCGCAGCAAAAAACGGUUCGUGAAUGCAAGGUCCUCAUCCGCAAAAUUCAUCAAUCGGUAUGCCGAAUGACUGGUGAAGAUGUCGACAACGUUCAAACCGAAAUUGCUUCCACCCUACCAUUAAAUUAGCCUGCUGCAGCUUUGGAUAUGGACGAAAAAUUGAAAUGCGACGAAUUUGCUGCUACAACGAAACAAUUCGUUUUGAGGAUAAAAGGUACUUCAGAUAGUGUACAUGAUGUGUUGCGAAGUCUGUACACUGAUGAACUUCUUUAUUUAUGUAACUGGGACGGUAGGGGUGGGAAGCAACCUCUCUCCAAAUUCCUGCUGGUUUCCAACAUUUUAUACGAUUCAUUCAUGACGUAUGGAUUGGCAAUGUUCGAAAAACAAGUUCGAAAAGCCAUUGAAAUGAGCCACCAUAGACACAAACAAAGAAUUUAUAGGAAGAGGAAAACUGAGGAGUGAACCCUUUAAAUAUUUAAUAAAAAGUUAUAUGUAUUUCUGAUAUUAUUAAAAAUAAUUAUUUUAAUACAUACUAGAUUUUAAGAAAGCAUUGCAAAGCAGGAAUUGAAUUAAUAAUGAAAUAUUUAUUUUAAUUUAAACUUUAAUGUAAUUUUUGUUAAAAAUAAUUUGAAAAAAAAUUAAAAAUUAUAAAAAAAAAAAAAUCUUUUAUUUUGAGAUUCGAACUCGAGUCUCACGGAAUACCAAGCCGUGCGUUUAACCACUAGGCUAGUAUAGCAUGCAGCGUCGCGCU